rnacentral:rRNA from 1 species
GCACAAGCGGUGGAGCAUGUGGUUUAAUUCGAUGCAACGCGAAGAACCUUACCUACUCUUGACAUCCAGGGAAUUUGGCAGAGAUGCCUUAGUGCCUUCGGGAACCGUGAGACAGGUGCUGCAUGGCUGUCGUCAGCUCGUGUUGUGAAAUGUUGGGUUAAGUCCCGCAACGAGCGCAACCCUUAUCCUUUGUUGCCAGCACGUAAUGGUGGGAACUCAAAGGAGACUGCCGGUGAUAAACCGGAGGAAGGUGGGGAUGACGUCAAGUCAUCAUGGCCCUUACGAGUAGGGCUACACACGUGCUACAAUGGCGCAUACAAAGAGAAGCGACCUCGCGAGAGCAAGCGGACCUCAUAAAGUGCGUCGUAGUCCGGAUCGGAGUCUGCAACUCGACUCCGUGAAGUCGGAAUCGCUAGUAAUCGUGGAUCAGAAUGCCACGGUGAAUACGUUCCCGGGCCUUGUACACACCGCCCGUCACACCAUGGGAGUGGGUUGCAAAAG